rnacentral:rRNA from 3 species
UUGACCUCGGAUCAGGUGAGGAUACCCGCUG